rnacentral:rRNA from 1 species
GGUAGGGCUUCACACGUCAUACAAUGGUCGGUACAGAGGGUUGGCCAAGCCGCGAGGCGGAGCCAAUCCCACAAAGCCGAUCGUAGUCCGGAUUGUUCUCUGCAACUCGAGAGCAUGAAGUCGGAAUCGCUAGUAAUCGCAGGUCAGCAUACUGCGGUGAAUACGUUCCCGGGUCCUU